rnacentral:rRNA from 1 species
UACGAAGGGGGCUAGCGUUGCUCGGAAUUACUGGGCGUAAAGCGCACGUAGGCGGCUUCUUAAGUCGGUGGUGAAAUCCUGGAGCUCAACUCCAGAACUGCCUUCGAUACUGGGAGCUCGAGUCCGGGAGAGGUGAGUGGAACUGCGAGUGUAGAGGUGAAAUUCGUAGAUAUUCGCAAGAACACCAGUGGCGAAGGCGGCUCACUGGCCCGGUACUGACGCUGAGGUGGCGAAAGCGUGGGGAGCAAACAGGG